GGGGGGGGCGUAAUCAAGUAGGAGCUGGAACAACAAUCGGGGAGGAGGUUGAACAGGUUAACAGCUUCCUCUCUCGAGCAGCCAUAUGUUCCAAGUACAUGUCAAAAGCCGACUGUACAAAGGAUUGCAGAGGCAACAAAGGACCUGGAGAAACUCACAGCUGAGUUAUCUCUACAGCAAGACACAGUCCAGCAGUGGGUGACUGAUGUUCAGCAGUGGACCUCAGUACCAACAAUCCAAAAUGACUUGCAGAGGACCAUUGAGGGGCUAUAUCUGAGCAUCAAACAGCGAAAAUUUCAGCUAUAUCGUCAGUCUGGUGGGAACAAGCGAAGGCAUCAACUGAGAAGAAAGAUUGCUGUUGAGAAGAAAGUCUUGGAAGUUGCCAUCAAUGACCACAAUGCUACUGUAGGGGAAGCUGAAAAACUGCCUUCUCCCAAUAAACUCCUGGCUGUGGACAACUACUCCUGGCCAUGGGAAUGUAAUGGUGAUAUGGAGCGGAAAAAAAAUGUUUUUGACAAGGUGAUGCUACUGGCUAGACUGAAAGAAGAAGAAUUUAUUGUGGUUCGCGAAGUCAAGCAGCACAUGGAGUACAUGAAGAGUGUUG